rnacentral:rRNA from 1 species
GACGAACGCUGGCGGCGUGCUUAACACAUGCAAGUCGAACGGAAAGGCCCUGCUUUUGUGGGGUGCUCGAGUGGCGAACGGGUGAGUAACACGUGAGUAACCUGCCCUUGACUUUGGGAUAACUUCAGGAAACUGGGGCUAAUACCGGAUAGGAGCUCCUGCUGCAUGGUGGGGGUUGGAAAGUUUCGGCGGUUGGGGAUGGACUCGCGGCUUAUCAGCUUGUUGGUGGGGUAGUGGCUUACCAAGGCUUUGACGGGUAGCCGGCCUGAGAGGGUGACCGGCCACAUUGGGACUGAGAUACGGCCCAGACUCCUACGGGAGGCAGCAGUGGGGAAUAUUGCACAAUGGGCGGAAGCCUGAUGCAGCAACGCCGCGUGCGGGAUGACGGCCUUCGGGUUGUAAACCGCUUUCGCCUGUGACGAAGCGUGAGUGACGGUAAUGGGUAAAGAAGCACCGGCUAACUACGUGCCAGCAGCCGCGGUGAUACGUAGGGUGCGAGCGUUGUCCGGAUUUAUUGGGCGUAAAGGGCUCGUAGGUGGUUGAUCGCGUCGGAAGUGUAAUCUUGGGGCUUAACCCUGAGCGUGCUUUCGAUACGGGUUGACUUGAGGAAGGUAGGGGGAGAAUGGAAUUCCUGGUGGAGCGGUGGAAUGCGCAGAUAUCAGGAGGAACACCAGUGGCGAAGGCGGUUCUCUGGGCCUUUCCUGACGCUGAGGAGCGAAAGCGUGGGGAGCGAACAGGCUUAGAUACCCUGGUAGUCCACGCUGUAAACGGUGGGUACUAGGUGUGGGGUCCAUUCCACGGGUUCCGUGCCGUAGCUAACGCUUUAAGUACCCCGCCUGGGGAGUACGGCCGCAAGGCUAAAACUCAAAGGAAUUGACGGGGCCCCGCACAAGCGGCGGAGCAUGCGGAUUAAUUCGAUGCAACGCGUAGAACCUUACCUGGGUUUGACAUGGAUCGGGAGCGCUCAGAGAUGGGUGUGCCUCUUUUGGGGUCGGUUCACAGGUGGUGCAUGGCUGUCGUCAGCUAGUGUCGUGAGAUGUUGGGUUAAGUCCCGCAACGAGCGCAACCCUUGUUCACUGUUGCCAGUACGUUAUGGUGGGGACUCAGUGGAGACCGCCGGGGUCAACUCGGAGGAAGGUGGGGAUGACGUCAAGUCAUCAUGCCCCUUAUGUCCAGGGCUUCACGCAUGCUACAAUGGCUGGUACAGAGAGUGGCGAGCCUGUGAGGGUGAGCGAAUCUCGGAAAGCCGGUCUCAGUUCGGAUUGGGGUCUGCAACUCGACCUCAUGAAGUCGGAGUCGCUAGUAAUCGCAGAUCAGCAACGCUGCGGUGAAUACGUUCCCGGG